rnacentral:rRNA from 1 species
GCUUACCAUGCAGUCGAACGGUGAAGCCAAGCUUGCUUGGUGGAUCAGUGGCGAACGGGUGAGUAACACGUGAGCAACCUGCCCUGGACUCUGGGAUAAGCGCUGGAAACGGCGUCUAAUACUGGAUAUGAGACGUGAUCGCAUGGUCGUGUUUGGAAAGAUUUUUCGGUCUGGGAUGGGCUCGCGGCCUAUCAGCUUGUUGGUGAGGUAAUGGCUCACCAAGGCGUCGACGGGUAGCCGGCCUGAGAGGGUGACCGGCCACACUGGGACUGAGACACGGCCCAGACUCCUACGGGAGGCAGCAGUGGGGAAUAUUGCACAAUGGGCGGAAGCCUGAUGCAGCAACGCCGCGUGAGGGAUGACGGCCUUCGGGUUGUAAACCUCUUUUAGCAGGGAAGAAGCGAAAGUGACGGUACCUGCAGAAAAAGCGCCGGCUAACUACGUGCCAGCAGCCGCGGUAAUACGUAGGGCGCAAGCGUUAUCCGGAAUUAUUGGGCGUAAAGAGCUCGUAGGCGGUUUGUCGCGUCUGCUGUGAAAUCCCGAGGCUCAACCUCGGGCCUGCAGUGGGUACGGGCAGACUAGAGUGCGGUAGGGGAGAUUGGAAUUCCUGGUGUAGCGGUGGAAUGCGCAGAUAUCAGGAGGAACACCGAUGGCGAAGGCAGAUCUCUGGGCCGUAACUGACGCUGAGGAGCGAAAGGGUGGGGAGCAAACAGGCUUAGAUACCCUGGUAGUCCACCCCGUAAACGUUGGGAACUAGUUGUGGGGACCAUUCCACGGUUUCCGUGACGCAGCUAACGCAUUAAGUUCCCCGCCUGGGGAGUACGGCCGCAAGGCUAAAACUCAAAGGAAUUGACGGGGACCCGCACAAGCGGCGGAGCAUGCGGAUUAAUUCGAUGCAACGCGAAGAACCUUACCAAGGCUUGACAUAUACGAGAACGGGCCAGAAAUGGUCAACUCUUUGGACACUCGUAAACAGGUGGUGCAUGGUUGUCGUCAGCUCGUGUCGUGAGAUGUUGGGUUAAGUCCCGCAACGAGCGCAACCCUCGUUCUAUGUUGCCAGCACGUAAUGGUGGGAACUCAUGGGAUACUGCCGGGGUCAACUCGGAGGAAGGUGGGGAUGACGUCAAAUCAUCAUGCCCCUUAUGUCUUGGGCUUCACGCAUGCUACAAUGGCCGGUACAAAGGGCUGCAAUACCGUGAGGUGGAGCGAAUCCCAAAAAGCCGGUCCCAGUUCGGAUUGAGGUCUGCAACUCGACCUCAUGAAGUCGGAGUCGCUAGUAAUCGCAGAUCAGCAACGCUGCGGUGAAUACGUUCCCGGGUCUUGUACACACCGCCCGUCAAGUCAUGAAAGUCGGUAACACCUGAAGCCGGUGGCCCAACCCUUGUGGAGGGAGCCGUCGA